UUUCCGCACAUUUAUUCUGCCGGGAAGUGUCUCCCUCGCGCGGCGUAUUCUUCAGCCGGCGACUGGAGCCGAGGAGUGGGGCUAGCGGCUGCUGUGAAGGCAGCGGAGGGGAAGUUCGUCUGACGGCUGCUCGGUCGCCUUAUCAGCGCGUCGGGGUAUCGGAUAUCGCGAUAAGCAUAUGUGUCUACAGCUGAGGCCGCCUGGUCGGGAAGUAAUAAAUUCUAGGAUUCAGGAAGUUAUUCCCAGAGCAAACCUCAACCAUUCUACGCCCACCACAUCGCGCGGCGAGAAGACUCAGUAAGGCAUAUUCGGAGCCAAGUGGAGGUUAUCUGUAAGCGAAAAAAGUUGAGCGACUGUUAUUUUUACCCCUUGUUGAAUCGAUAUUUGACUUUGUAACAGCAUCGAGAAAUACUAUUAUAUGCACGAUUUCUUUUUCAAGAAUGGAUGAGAAGAGAAACUGGAGAAAAGGAAAGAAGAAUCAUCUUUAUAUUUCUGCAACAAGAAAGAAAAAUAAAGCUACUCAUCUCAAAGCAUACUGGAGUCAAAGGAAAAAAACUAUACCUAAACAAAACAAUGUCAAUGAAGAAUUGGAAAACCAGAGCCUAUCAAGAAUUCACUGCAGCCAUCAAGCACUGAUUGAAAACGAAAUAACUUCCGGAGUGCAUGAAGAAAGCUAUCCGGCAAAGUGAGUAACUGUUUACAUUUUAUUUAAAACAAAUCUAAGUUAUUCCCAAACGGUGGGUCGCGGAAGGGUUACAGGUGGGUCGCGACUCAAUCCUAUAACUAUCAGAAACCAUCGAAUAAACAACCAGAAAAAAUAAGAAAAA